rnacentral:misc_RNA from 1 species
AUCCGUCAAAGACGGGUUCAAAUGGAGGGGAAGAGGAGGCCGCGCGGGAUUGGGGGCUGGGGUACUUCGGCGGGCCGCCGAAGACGUCGUCGUAUCCAGGUGAGGGGCGGUCCCCUGAGAUCCCGCCUCCGAAGACGGAAUCACCCCCAGACCGGUCCGAUCUCGGCCGCGCCGGGACGAAGGAUCUAGAAGCGCCUCCGGUACCUGUCUUGGCGGCGGACAUGGGGGCCGAUUUGCCCUGCGGGCGG